UCACCUGUCUCUUAUGUUUGCAACUUUGUCUUCUCCUAGCUAGAACAUCAUUACAGUUAGAAAGCCCUCUCAUCCCUGCAGAACAGUGAACAUGAACAAACUGGACGAUUAUAUAAAAGACAUAUUUCUUAGACCCACUAUAUACGGAGAGCAUCGACAGGCAAUCAUAAUAAUUAUAUUCGGAUACAAAAUAGACAGAGCAACAAAUAUGGAUAUUUCCAUGAAGUUGGAAAGAGAUGUGUACAAAUAUUAUGUGUACACUACCAACUUGAGUAUCAGAAUCAAAUGUGGAUCCGAACCCACUGCAAACAAACAACUUUCACAUUCUAGUCUGCACAACAAUUCAGUCACUCAAAUCUAUGCUAUAGUUGCAGGCUACAACAUAACUACAACCACUUAAGAAAACUGGAGUAGGGCACCAAGAUGUGGGUUACCUGAAGCGGAAAAGCUAGGAGGAGGGAGCACGACCAUGCCAACCCGAAGUCUGCCUCUGCAAGCUGCACACUGCCAUGUUGUGGAGCAGCAGGAUGAGCAUCUCGUUGUGGACGGUGGCGACAGCACCGCAGAUGGCUGGACAUCCUCUCCUCUCUCUCUUGCCAGCGCACCUUCUACCGCGUCCAAAGGAACG
rnacentral:lncRNA from 1 species